rnacentral:lncRNA from 1 species
AGUGGACGUCUGCAGGUAAAGCAGCCAAGCCAAUGAACCAGAUGGCUGUGAGCAAGACAGAGAGUAGUUAUUCUGCUCCAUCCCUUUGACCAGCACUGCCUCAAUUAUCAGACUGACGUUUCAUUAGCUCCAGCAGCUGAUGCCACAGCGGAGGAGCACUGAAGUGUGGUGAGAAGAAGUGAAGAUUAUGGGUCAACAGAGUCCUGUCAUGGUAAUAUAAAUGUGUUGCAGUUAUAUCAACAUAUGAUCCACCCCAGUGACCCUAUCUGUGUGAGGUGAUGACAUCCUGUCU